rnacentral:rRNA from 1 species
UACAGAGGUGGCAAGCGUUGUUCGGAAUCACUGGGCUUAAAGGGCGCGUAGGCGGGCUGCCAAGUUCGGGGUGAAAUCCUCCCGCUUAACGGGAGAACGGCCUCGAAUACUGGCGGUCUCGAGGGAGGUAGGGGCGUGCGGAACUAUGGGUGGAGCGGUGAAAUGCGUUGAUAUCCAUAGGAACUCCGGUGGCGAAGGCGGCACGCUGGACCUCUUCUGACGCUGAGGCGCGAAAGCCAGGGGAGCAAACGGG